rnacentral:rRNA from 1 species
UACGGAGGGGGCUAGCGUUGUUCGGAAUUACUGGGCGUAAAGCGCGCGUAGGCGGACCUGCAAGUCGGGGGUGAAAGCCCGAGGCUCAACCUCGGAACUGCCUUCGAUACCGCGGGUCUCGAGUCCGGGAGAGGUGAGUGGAAUUCCUAGUGUAGAGGUGAAAUUCGUAGAUAUUAGGAAGAACACCAGUGGCGAAGGCGGCUCACUGGCCCGGUACUGACGCUGAGGCGCGAAAGCGUGGGGAGCAAACAGG